AGCAGCCGCGGUAAUUCCAGCUCCAAUAGCGUAUAUUAAAGUUGCUGCAGUUAAAAAGCUCGUAGUUGAAUUUCGGGACCGAUAUAUCGGUCGUGCCUCGGUACGUACUGGUAUUUUCGGUUUCUACCUUCUGACGAACCUUGAUGUCAUUAAUUUGGUGUCUUGGGGAAUCAGGACUGUUACUUUGAAAAAAUUGAGUGUUUAAAGCAGGCUCACGCUUGAAUACAUUAGCAUGGAAUAAUGAAAUAGGACGUUUGAUUCUAUUUUGUUGGUUUCUAGGAUCGACGUAAUGAUUAAUAGGGAUAGUUGGGGGCAUUAGUAUUCAAUUGUCAGAGGUGAAAUUCUUGGAUUUAUUGAAGACUAACUACUGCGAAAGCAUUUGCCAAGGAUGUUUUCAUUAAUCAAGAACGAAAGUUAGGGAUCGAAGACGAUCAGAUACCGUCGUAGUCUUAACCAUAAACUAUGACCGACUAGGGAUCGGAUGAUGUUAAUUUUUAAUGUACUCAUUCGCGCUUACGGG
rnacentral:rRNA from 1 species